GGAGAGUUGCCCGAGCGGCCAAAGGGAGCAGGCUGUAAACCUGCCGGCUUAUGCCUACGCUGGUUCGAAUCCAGCACUCUCCACCU
rnacentral:tRNA from 1 species